UACAGAGGUCUCGAGCGUUGUUCGGAUUCAUUGGGCGUAAAGGGUGCGUAGGCGGCGAGCUAAGUUUGGUGUGAAAUCCUGGGGCUUAACCCCAGAAAUGCACUGAAUACUGGUUUGCUAGAGGACUGGAGAGGAGAUUGGAAUUCACGGUGUAGCAGUGAAAUGCGUAGAUAUCGUGAGGAAGACCAGUGGCGAAAGCGAAUCUCUGGACAGUUCCUGACGCUGAUGCACGAAGGCUAGGGGAGCAAACGGG
rnacentral:rRNA from 1 species